rnacentral:rRNA from 1 species
AGCGAACGCUGGCGGCAGGCCUAAUACAUGCAAGUCGAACGGCUCUUCGGAGCAGUGGCGGACGGGUGAGUAACACGUGGGAACGUGCCCUUUGGUACGGAACAACUGAGGGAAACUUCAGCUAAUACCGUAUGUGCCCCCAUUCUUAGCGGGAUGGGUGGGAAAGAUUUAUCGCCAUUGGAGCGGCCCGCGUUGGAUUAGCUAGUUGGUGGGGUAAAGGCCCACCAAGGCUACGAUCCAUAGCUGGUCUGAGAGGAUGAUCAGCCACACUGGGACUGAGACACGGCCCAGACUCCUACGGGAGGCAGCAGUAGGGAAUCUUGUGCAAUGGGCGAAAGCCUGACGCAGCCAUGCCGCGUGAAUGAUGAAGGUCUUAGGAUUGUAAAAUUCUUUCACCGGGGAAGAUAAUGACGGUACCCGGAGAAGAAGCCCCGGCUAACUUCGUGCCAGCAGCCGCAGUAA